CUCACCGGCAAAGAUUUCAGGUGAAGGCAGAGCUGUUUCAGAGGGCUCUGUGUGGAGGAGAUGGAGUGAACGGAGCAGAGGGCACAUCUGGGCUCUCUACAGUGUGAGGAGCUGCAGAUGAAAACUCACUUUGACAACAAAUGAACUGCAUCAUUGCAUUGAGCUCAACUACCUUUUCGAGCAGAAUGUCUUGGUUUGAAGCGAGGCAGUAAGGGACAAGCUCAUUCAGCUGUACUUUUUUGGUAGGUGAUUGUUCUGUAAUUAACCAGCAGACGGCUUAUGCACAUAAGGUAGGAGGGAAGUGCAGACAGCUGGGGCAAACUAACACACAAAGAAGCAGGGGAGGAAGUAAAACCAAACACACUGGACAAGAGAUAAAUGUCACCGUGAGAAGCAAUGUCAGGAAAUGAGAAGCAAUAACUAAAUAGGGGAACAAAGACACAGAACUAAACUACACAUAUAGACAACAGGAACAGUGACUAAUUUAUCAUAUUUAGUAGGAAUGGCAAACUUGGAAGGCUUAGGAUAUAAAGAUUGGAAAGGUUUGUGAUUUGGAUUGUUUGAAGACAUGCUUGAAGACCCUGCCCACAUCACUGACUUCCUAAAGAAGGCCACAGACAAAUCCCUGAAGCACUUAAUAGCUUCACCAAAGCACACAAAAAGGCACUUCAGAGGGUCAUUAAAAAAAUGGCCCAAAAAAUCAUUGGACAUCCUUUUCCCUCCCGGAAGGACCUGUGCUGCAGUCUGCUGUCUCCACAGGGCACGCAGCAUCCUACGGGACUGCACACACCCAGGACACCGGGUGUUUAAGCUGCUGCCGUCUUUCAGGAGACUCAGACUGCUGAGGUCACAGACAAACAGACAAGAGUCUCAGUUUCCACCCCUGGGCGGAGUCACGGCAUACCUGCGUGCCUCCACACCUGCUGGCAGUUGAGCUGUCAGUACUUAAGACCAGCGCUCACCCCUACUCUCUGCCAAGUCUUCAGCUUACCUACAGUUAGUGCUGGUUGUCACGGAGUAGUCAUCAAAACAGAUUUUUUUCAUGGUGAGAUUAAUCCUGUGCUCUCAACCUGCAGUCAUCCUGCUGUCUGUCAUUUCCUCUGCUGGCCAUAUUCACCAUCAUCCCGAUGCCGGUCAGUACGAGACAGCUCAGUGCAAAAAGCUCUCUUUUUCACUCACCUGCCCUCCUGUCACAGCACCUACGUAACACCCCACCUGGAAACAGCACUGCCUCACCCAGACCUCUUCCCCCUCUCGUGCCUAAAAACCUCCACCUGCCAAGUAAGACAAGAUCUGUUUAUACUUCAUUCUCAUCUGGACUCCAUCGGCCUCGCUCUUAACUCUGUUUUCCUCUCGUUCUAGUUCUCCGUGACACCUUGCUGCAUUACCUGUUCCGAGUGCACAUUCCCCCUUGAAUUUCCCUACUCUAGUUGUCCUAGUGUUUCAUGCUGUUCAUUGUCAUUUGAGUACUCUUUAUUUUAUUAGAGCUGUAGGUAGUCUCUCUCAGUUUUCAGUAGCUUCGUGGUUCAGAGCUCACACUCUAAAUUAAUAUCAGUUCUUCCUGUUGUAAAUAAAGAGUUUUUGAUAAAUACGCUCACCAGUGCCUCCGUGAGUGUUCUCCAUAUCGAGUCUUUUUCCCAGGUCGGCCUUGGCUGUGACAUUAAUAACGGCACCGUGUUUCCUCCUCUAUUCAGCAUGCCAAACAGACAAAGAGCACCGCACCAAAGCAGUAAGGGAAUGUUUGGUGUUCAGCCAGCAGCAGGUGGAAACACUCACUGCUGAAAACGCCUCGCUACGAGACUUGGUCAUGUGACCCAGCUCAGUGAAGAAAGUAAAAUAAUAAUGAUUUUAAAAUAAUAAAAGACACUAUGGUCGAUUUCCACACUAUCCCCUGGUGUUUUCAGGCAUCCUGGAAUCUGCGGAAGAGGACGCAGAAGUUACCAUUAAAACCUUCAUCAGGACCCACCUGAAGCUUCCACAGGACAUGCUGAAGAACAUCACCUUCCACUGUGUCCAUGGCCUGGCAGCAAGAAUGAUGCCUGAAGACCGCGUCCUAUUGUGACCAAAUUCCAACAUUUCAAGCAGAAGGAACAGGCAGCUGAAAGGAACGGACUUUAGUGUAAACAACCAGUUCCCCAAAGAGAUUCCGGAGCGACAUGAGGUCCUGAUCCUCAUUCAGUGGAUCUUCAUUCAGAAGGGCUCCCGUGCUGUGGUCGCUGUGGAUGAACAGAUCAGCCUCAGCACCACUCCCUGGUUGAUUGACGCCACUCCAUAUAAGAAUCCACUACAUUGUUUUUCUUCUCCUCCGCUUCCCCUGUUAUCUAACUUAUUGAUGUUAAUUCACUAAUGCAACGUGACGUCAUGACAGAUAAAUUACCAUCAGUCUCCACAGCGUUAAAGUAUUAGUUACAAUGUUCUUGUUUUCUUUCCAGUUUUCUCUUUCAUCUCUCCCUCUUGCCCCAUUGCAUAUUUCCUUCUUAUUUUUAUGUUCAUUCUUAGUCUUAUAUGUUACUAUAUAUAUAUUCAUAUUUUCAGGCUGCUUUAUUUGACAAAACCUGUAGAGGACUGUAUUAGUCAGCUGUAAGGAUGGAGCAACCAAGAACCAACCUAACGGUGCCUACCUUCUACAGCGGCAUUCCACAAACAUUCAGCCUGUCAUGGCUGUAAUUGUAGUCCAUUCUAACACAGUUAAAAAUCAUGGUUGAUUUAAAACAAAAGCAACAAAAACUUUUACUUGGUUGUUAUCUUGUAGUUGUAUUAAUUACAGGAGUAUCUGUAAUAACCAUUUUUACAGAUGAAUAAAAGUUUGGACAUUU